GGAGAGGUGUCCGAGUGGUCGAAGGAGGCGGUCCUGAAAACCGUUGAACCGCAAGGUUCCGUGGGUUCGAAUCCCACCUUCUCCG
rnacentral:tRNA from 1 species